AUCCAUGAAAUUUGGCUGUUUUGUCUCUAUCAGACGACAGUUUUUUCACCUGAUUGAAUAAAGGAAUCAUUACACUUUU